UACGUAGGGUGCAAGCGUUGUCCGGAAUUAUUGGGCGUAAAGAGCUCGUAGGCGGUUUGUCGCGUCUGCUGUGAAAUCUGGGGGCUCAACCCCCCAGCCUGCAGUGGGUACGGGCAGACUAGAGUGCGGUAGGGGAGAUUGGAAUUCCUGGUGUAGCGGUGGAAUGCGCAGAUAUCAGGAGGAACACCAGUGGCGAAGGCGGCUUUCUGGGCCUACCCUGACGCUGAGGAGCGAAAGCGUGGGGAGCAAACCGG
rnacentral:rRNA from 1 species